GGAGAGGUGGCUCAGUGGUUAAGAGCACUGACUGCUCUUCCAGAGGUCCUGAGUUCAAAUCCCAGCAACCCCA
rnacentral:tRNA from 1 species